CGCGUAGGCGGUCUGAUAAGUCAGUUGUGAAAGCCCGGGGCUCAACCCCGGAAGUGCAAUUGAAACUGUCAGGCUUGAGUAUGGUAGAGGGAAGUGGAAUUCCUGGUGUAGCGGUGAAAUGCGUAGAUAUCAGGAGGAACACCGGUGGCGAAGGCGACUUCCUGGACCAAUACUGACGCUGAGGCGCGAAGGUGUGGGGAGCAAACAGGAUUAGAUACCCUGGUAGUCC
rnacentral:rRNA from 1 species